rnacentral:misc_RNA from 1 species
GAUGAAGAACGUAGCGAAAUGCGAUAAGUAAAGUGAAUUGCAGAAUUCAGUGAAUCAUCGAAUCUUUGAACGCACAUUGCGCCCGCCAGUAUUCUGGCGGGCAUGCCUGUUCGAGCGUCAUUUCAACCCUCAGGCCCCCAGUGCCUGGUGUUGGGGAUCGGCCCAGCCUUCCUGUAAGGCCGCCGGCCCCGAAAUCUAGUGGCGGUCUCGCUGUAGUCCUCCUCUGCGUAGUAGCACAACCUCGCAGUUGGAACGCGGCGGUGGCCAUGCCGUUAAACACCCCACUUCUGAAAGUUGACCUCGGAUCAGGUAGGAAUACCCGCUGAACUUAAGCAUAUCAAUAAGCGGAGGA